UACGGAGGGUGCGAGCGUUGUCCGGAAUCAUUGGGCGUAAAGGGUACGUAGGCGGGCUUUUAAGUGAGGUGUGAAAUCCCCGGGCUUAACCUGGGAAUAGCAUUCCAGACUGGGAGUCUAGAGUACUUUAGGGAGGGGUAGAAUUCCACGUGUAGCGGUGAAAUGCGUAGAGAUGUGGAGGAAUACCGAAGGCGAAGGCAGCCCCUUGGGAAUGUACUGACGCUCAUGUGCGAAAGCGUGGGGAGCAAACAGG
rnacentral:rRNA from 1 species